AGCCCUCUUUAUCCAAGGAUUCUGCAUCUGUAAAUUUAACGAAACAUAAACACAAAAUAUUUGGAAAAAAUUGCAUCUGUACUUUGUACACUCAUACCUACAGUAUAUACAGAUGUACGUGCAGACUUGUUUCUUGUCAUUACUCUCUAGAGGAGAACAACUAUUUAUGUAGCAUGUACAUUCUAUUGGGUGUUAUUAUUAUUAUAUUUGGUACCAGGGAUUGAGCCCAGGGGCACUCAACCACUGAACCACAUCCCUAGGCUUUUUUGUAUUUUAUUUAGAGACAGGGUCUCACUGAAUUGCUUACUUAGGGCCUUGAUAAGUUGCUGAGGCUUUGAACUUGUGAUUCUUUUGCCUCAGCCUCCUGAACUGCUGGGAUUACAGAAGCCCCUUUGUGUGGGGAAGCCCUCAGUUAGUGCACCACCAUGUCCGGCCCUAUUGGGUAUUAUAAAUUUUCUACACAAAUAGUGCACCAUUUUGUAUAAGGGAUUUGAUUAACUUUAGAUCUUGGUAUCUAAGGGUAGACCUGGAUACCAACCCUGUAUAGAUAUGGUGUGUGUGUGUGUGUGUGUGUGUGUAUGCAUAGGUAUAUAUAGGGUUGACUAUAUUUUUCCAUUUAUAUCACCACUUCUUUCUUAAAGUAUUUUUUUCCCAAUUCAUUUUAGACUGGGGGUCUCAAUGCAAAUCUAAAGAGUCAGCGUCUCUGCAGGGUAUUUUGGAAGACAUAUCACCCAGUGACACACAGAUGGUAAGAUUCCUGGAUUAUCUCUAGCUCCCUUUUACAGCAAAGUUGAGGAAUCUAUGAACUGGAAAAACAGCACCAGAACCAGGGAGACAUUUGAGGCAGGGGCAUCUCCUCAAAGGGAAGCAGCAUCAGAGGGGAGAUAUGACUUUUGAAUUUGGGCAAAUCCCUGCUGUCAUUCAAUGUUCUUUCUAGAAGUUUCUCUCAAGUGCACAUUUCCAUCAGUGAGUCAGACAUUGAGUGUAUAAGAUGUGAUUACUUCUCUCUUUUUAAAAAAAUUUCAUUCUUUUUGGUAAUACAUGACAGGAGAAUGUGUUUUGACAUUAUACAUAUUAUACAUGGUAUGAUCUACUUCUCAACAAUGAUCAGGAAAAUGUGGCCAGGUGUAGAAGCCCCCUAAAAACCAUGAGCAGGAGAGAGCCCUUCGGUGGAGCAGACAAGAUACUUGGUUGAAAGAACUCAAGCCCUCUGAACCAGGCAUGUCUCGAAAAUGCUGAAAAUGUGCUCCCUACACGGAGGAUCCCCGGUUCUGUCUGGGGUGCUGGCAAACUCUUUGCUGUCACUCACCUCUUGCUGGGAGCAGCCUCCACCUAGAGAGAAGGGACCAGUGAGUUUAACCAGUGCAGGAGGGGGUUCUGGGGGACAUGUAACCGGGAUUUGAUGAGAGACCUGGCGAAGGAGAGGCCACUUUGAUUUUAAAGAAUGUUGGAAAGUCGUCAGGAUCCUUUGGAAUCCUUCCUGGAAGGUGCCCCUUUGUGUGGGGAAGCCCUCAGAACUGGCCUACACAUUACUGUGCAUAGGAAAUGCAGAGAGUCCGCUUGUUCCCCACUUGGGCUCUGAGUUCCUCCUUCCUCACACGACAGGCCUCCCCACCCCAAAGCCUGGGUUCCCAGUCUUGGGAGUUGGCAAGAGUUGGGGUUGGGUUGGGGUAGAGUGGAGCCCAGAGCCUGGCCUCGCACCUCAGUAUUGUGCACUGCCUGUAGGAUGGAAGGGGCUUCUGCUGCGUCAGAGCCCCAACCCAGCUGGGCCUGCUUGUCCCAGAGACAGUGAGGUACCCAGAAUCCCUCAAUCUGCACCCCGUCUCUUUGCCAUGGGUUAGUGUCUGCAUCAGGGUCAGAGAUGUCCAUCCCCAUGGACAGGGUGGGAUGGCCUGGGUUGUAGAGAACCAUGCUCUCUUCCUUUGAUGGGGAACCUUCUGGAGCACAGAGAAUCCUCCAUCCUGGGCAGCCUGGUGUGGGCUGCCGAGCAGCUGAAACCCUUGCUCUGCCUGGCUGUGACAGGUCCCGGUAGUCGACACCUUUCCCUCCCUGCACCCUCUUUGUCCCUGGUUUCUACUUAUUUUGGUUGAGAACAUCUUCCAGCGGCUGCCUGGGACAGGUACAUAGUUUUUGAAAACUUGAGACCCCAAAAUGCCUUAUUUGAGCUGCUGGAUUGAAGGGACCUCUCUGGCUGUGUCAUUGCAGUAAGCCCCAUUACAGAGGCUUCUGCAUGUCAUCAGAGUCCCCAUUCGUGCUUGUUGCAUGAAGAAAUGAGUGGACAGGUGCUAGGGAAAAACGGCCUGGGCUCCAUCACCACCUUGUCUGUGGUCAGUGGAUGGAGCUUGAGAGUGAAGGAGGGAGAGGGAACCCUGACAGCUGGGGGCUCCUCUCUAGGUUCUGUGGAUUUUGUCCUUUGAGUACAGAGUUCUAACAUCUCCCAUGGAUCUUUCUGCUUGGCCCAGCCCCACAAGAUCCCCAGUAUUGAGGGAUGGGAGGGGCUUCUGCUGCAUCAGAAUCCCAGGAAAUAGGCGGUUUCAGGAUGCUCUGAGAGGGCAGCGGAGGUCCACCCAGGGACACUGAGCAGUGCAUCCCUGGAGGUAUGCAGCCCAUAGGUGGCAGAGUGGCUUUGGAGCUGGGAGUCAAGCCCAGGCCUAACAGCAGGACCGCAGCCUUCUUCACAGCCUGAGGCCACACAACUGCCACUGGCUGAUGGUUCUGACCCUUUGACUGGUUCUUCUUGUCUCUUCUGGGCACCACCCAGCCUUCUCCCAGUCAUCUGGCAGCUCUGUGGCCAUGUCUCCUGGGGAAAAGUGAUUCUAUCCCUCCUGGGCAGGGAUAGAAUCCUGGGGGAGGGAAGAGCAGCUGGACCCUGGGCCCUGUCUUGUCUGCUCUAGCCUUUCUUCCUGUGGCCUUUCCUUCCACCCCAUCCCCUACCCCUUCCAAGACCUGGUACCUGUAGGAAUGUGUGGGUUCCAUGGUCUGAGGUUGGUGAAGAGUGCUUGGCUCAGGUCCCUGCGUUUCCUUACUGAAGCAGAGUGAGCAGAGGAGAGGGACACGGUAAGCCACAUCCUGAGCACUGCCCCGAGCAAAGGUCUUACUCCCACUUGCCCCUGCCUCACCACCUCUCUUCAGGUCUGUGCUACAAGGGCUUCCCACCUCCCAGCUGCCACCUCAUCCUGCCUGCUUUACUGACACAGUAUAACCCACCUCCAGUGCUUCACUGCUGUCACCCUGCCUAGGGCCACCAUCAGUUCUCCACUGAGGGACCACUCCCAACAGGCUCCUAGACCCUCCCUUGGACACUGAGACCAGAGGGGUCUCUUAGAAAUGCAAGUUAGACGGGACAUCUUUCUUGCUCCCCUUGAGGGAGCAACUGCCAGUAAAGAAGAGUUCAAAUCCUUUCUCCCACACAUUCUGUUUCGCCAUAACCAAAUACUAGGCACUGGGUACUUUGUUAAAAAAAAAGUUUUUUAUAGCUUACAGUUGAAGUGGCUGAAAGUCCAAAAUUGGGUGGUCCCAUCUGUUUGGCCUCUGGGGAGGGUCUUGUGGUAGAUGGUGUCAAGGGGGAGAUGUGUGCAAGUCGGGGAGAUCACAUGAUGAAACAGACAACCAGAGAGAGAUUCAGGGUACACUCUUGCUCUUUUAUGAUGGUCCAUUCUCUUGGGAACUAGCUGGGGACCCGUGAGAACUACAUUAAUCCCUUCCAGAGGCAUCACCCCAGCAACCUAAUUACCUUGCACUAAGCCCUACCUCUUAGAGGUCCCAACAUCACCACACCGAGGACUGAGCGCCCACCCAGGAAGCCUUGGGGGACAAACUGCAUCCAACCACAACACAUGUCAGGUCUUCCUUCCAGGAAUAACUGCUAACUGCCCUCAGGUCCCCUGCUCUCUGCCCCUCAACCUGUUGGCUGUUCACUGGAGCAUUCGCUAGAGCCCCUUCUGUUCUAGUGUUUUCCUCCCUGCAGGAGGCUGCUUCCCUGAGGGGGGUAGCUCUCUCCAUAUCAUUUUGGCAUGACAUGUUAUCACAGUGAUUAGCUUUGUAUUCAGAGUUAGGUGUAUCUUGACAAGGUAAAGGGGUGUCUACCUCUCUUGUCACACAUUCCCUGGGGCAGGGCCAACCACACAAGCUCAGUUAGGGUGAAUGGGUGUGAGCAGUUCCCCCUGGCUGUGUGACUAAUCUCUGACCCUGUCCCUCUGUCCAGGGACUGCAGGUGGCCUUGCAGAUUCAGAGGGUGGUGACGCCGGUGCCCACGCUGGGUCUCCCCAACCCAUGGGUGGCCAGGGCUUCUGGUGAGUGAGUGAUGUAUGGUACAUGUAGCUGCAGGGCCUCAGUGUUCUGUUUUGUCCAGGAGCUUGUGACCCAUUUCACCUCCAUUUCUUUUUUUUUUAAAAGAGAGAGAGAGAGAGAGAGAGACAGAGAGAGAGAGAGAGAAAUUUUAAUAUUUAUUUUUCAGUUUUCGGC
rnacentral:lncRNA from 1 species